rnacentral:rRNA from 1 species
CCCUAUGGGGCGCACCAGGUUGGUCCUUCAUCUCCGCAUAAAGAGGGUCCGUCACCUCAACUUCCAUACCUCCGAAGAGAAUCCUCUUAUAACUGGUAUCGUAGAUCGGCUCAAUCCCGCUCGACGUGCCAGCUAUGAUGCUCAAAGUGCCUGUCGGGGCGAUUGUCGUGGUUGUGGCGUUCCUCUGUAUAAUCCCCUCCCCGUCCCAGAUACUCCCCCUGUAGUUCGGGAAAGUGCCCCUCUCUUCUGCAAGAAUUCGGGAAGCGACUUUCGAUUCGGGAGACACAAACCUCAUCACGUCAUCGCCGACGCGUUCCGCCUCGGGUGAGUCGUAGGGGAUGCCCAGCUUUAUCAGCAUAUGGGCAAAGCCCAUAACGCCGAGCCCUAUUUUUCUGUUCGCCUGUGUAAUUCUUUCUAUUUCCGGGAGAGC